rnacentral:rRNA from 1 species
AUUGAACGCUAGCGGCAUGCUUAACACAUGCAAGUCGAACGGCAGCACGAGGAGCUUGCUCCUUGGUGGCGAGUGGCGGACGGGUGAGUAACGCGUAGGAAUCUGCCUUAUAGAGGGGGAUAACCCGGGGAAACUCGGGCUAAUACCGCAUAAUCUCUACGGAGCAAAGUGGGGGAUCUUUGGACCUCACGCUAUUAGAUGAGCCUGCGUCGGAUUAGUUUGUUGGGGGGUAAUGGCCUACCAAGACUACGAUCCGUAGCUGGUCUGAGAGGACGACCAGCCACACUGGGACUGAGACACGGCCCAGACUCCUACGGGAGGCAGCAGUGGGGAAUAUUGGACAAUGGGCGAAAGCCUGACCCCAGCAACGCCGCGUGAAGGAU